CAGUGGGGAAUAUUGGUCAAUGGGCGCAAGCCUGAACCAGCCAUCCCGCGUGAAGGAAGAAGGCGCUAUGCGUUGUAAACUUCUUUUCCAGGGGAAUAAAAUUUUGUACGUGUACGAAAUUGAAGGUACCCUGGGAAUAAGCAUCGGCUAACUCCGUGCCAGCAGCCGCGGUAAUACGGAGGAUGCAAGCGUUAUCCGGAUUUAUUGGGUUUAAAGGGUGCGCAGGCGGAAUAGUAAGUCAGUGGUGAAAACCUGCAGCUUAACUGUAGAAUUGCCGUUGAUACUGUUAUUCUUGAGUAUGGUCAAGGUAGGCGGAAUGUGUAAUGUAGCGGUGAAAUGCUUAGAUAUUACACAGAACACCGAUUGCGAAGGCAGCUUGCUGGGCCAUUACUGACGCUCAUGCACGAAAGCGUGGGGAUCGAACAGGAUUAGA
rnacentral:rRNA from 1 species